rnacentral:rRNA from 1 species
CCCUAAACGAUGUCUACUAGUUGUCGGGUUUUAAUUAACUUGGUAACGCAGCUAACGCGUGAAGUAGACCGCCUGGGGAGUACGGUCGCAAGAUUAAAACUCAAAGGAAUUGACGGGGACCCGCACAAGCGGUGGAUGAUGUGGAUUAAUUCGAUGCAACGCGAAAAACCUUACCUACCCUUGACAUGUACGGAAGGCCGAAGAGAUUUGGCUGUGCUCGAAAGAGAGCCGUAACACAGGUGCUGCAUGGCUGUCGUCAGCUCGUGUCGUGAGAUGUUGGGUUAAGUCCCGCAACGAGCGCAACCCUUGUCAUUAGUUGCUACGAAAGGGCACUCUAAUGAGACUGCCGGUGACAAACCGGAGGAAGGUGGGGAUGACGUCAAGUCCUCAUGGCCCUUAUGGGUAGGGCUUCACACGUCAUACAAUGGUACAUACAGAGCGCCGCCAACCCGCGAGGGGGAGCUAAUCGCAGAAAGUGUAUCGUAGUCCGGAUUGUAGUCUGCAACUCGACUACAUGAAGUUGGAAUCGCUAGUAAUCGCGGAUCAGCAUGUCGCGGUGAAUACGUUCCCGGGUCUUGUACACACCGCCCGUCACACCAUGGGAGCGGGUUUUACCAGAAGUAGGUAGCUUAACCGCAAGGAGGGCGCUUACCACGGUAGGAUUCGUGACUGGGGUGAAGUCGUAACAAGGUAGCCGUAUCGGAAGGUGC